rnacentral:rRNA from 1 species
AGUGUAGGCGGGAUCGUAAGUUAGGAGUUUAAUACAUGGGCUUAACCCAUGAGCUGCUUUUAAUACUGCGGUUCUUGAGUAUGGGAGAGGGCGAUGGAAUUCCAGGUGUAGCGGUGGAAUGCGUAGAUAUCUGGAAGAACACCAGUAGCGAAGGCGGUCGCCUGGCCCAAUGCUGACGCUGAUGCUCGAAAGCUAGGGGAGCAAACAGGAUUAGAUACCCUGGUAGUCCUAGCCGUAAACGAUGGACACUAGUUGCUGGAGGAGUCAAUCCUUUCGGUGACGAAGCUAACGCAUUAAGUGUCCCGCCUGGGGAGUACGUUCGCAAGGAUGAA